GUAGGUGGCAAGCGUUGUCCGGAAUUAUUGGGCGUAAAGCGCGCGCAGGCGGUUCUUUAAGUCUGAUGUGAAAGCCCACGGCUCAACCGUGGAGGGUCAUUGGAAACUGGAGAACUUGAGUACAGAAGAGGAAAGCGGAAUUCCACGUGUAGCGGUGAAAUGCGUAGAGAUGUGGAGGAACACCAGUGGCGAAGGCGGCUUUCUGGUCUGUAACUGACGCUGAGGCGCGAAAGCGUGGGGAGCAAACAGGGAUUAGAUACCCUGGUAGUCCACGCCGUAAACGAUGAGUGCUAAGUGUUAGGGGGGUUCCCCGCCCCCUUAGUGCUGCAGCUAACGCAUUAAGCACUCCGCCUGGGGAGUACGGCCGCAAGGCUG
rnacentral:rRNA from 1 species